AUUGAACGCUGGCGGCAUGCCUUACACAUGCAAGUCGAACGGUAACGCGGGGGCAACCCUGGCGACGAGUGGCGAACGGGUGAGUAAUACAUCGGAACGUACCCAGUAGUGGGGGAUAGCUCGGCGAAAGCCGGAUUAAUACCGCAUACGACCCAUGGGUGAAAGCGGGGGAUCGCAAGACCUCGCGCUAUUGGAGCGGCCGAUGUCGGAUUAGCUAGUUGGUGAGGUAAAGGCNCACCAAGGCUACGAUCCGUAGCUGGUCUGAGAGGACGACCAGCCACACUGGGACUGAGACAC
rnacentral:rRNA from 1 species